rnacentral:rRNA from 1 species
UGGGGAAUUUUGGACAAUGGGCGCAAGCCUGAUCCAGCCACGCCGCGUGAGUGAUGAAGGCCUUCGGGUCGUAAAGCUCUGUGGGGAGGGACGAACCGCUGGAUGUUAAUAGCUUCCAGCAUGACGGUACCUCCUUAGCAAGCACCGGCUAACUUCGUGCCCGCAGCCGCGGUAAUACGAAGGGUGCAAACGUUGCUCGGAAUUAUUGGGCGUAAAGCGCACGUAGGCGGCUUUGCAAGUUCGAUGUGAAAUCCCUCGGCUCAACCAAGGAAGUGCAUCGAAAACUGCAGAGCUUGAGUACAAAAGAGGAUCGCGGAAUUCCCGGUGUAGAGGUGAAAUUCGUAGAUAUCGGGAGGAACACCAGUGGCGAAGGCGGCGAUCUGGGUUGAUACUGACGCUGAGGUGCGAAAGCGUGGGGAGCAAA